UGAACUGUGCCUGAUGCUGAGCAUCCAGUGA
rnacentral:piRNA from 1 species